GGCCCAAUGGUCUAGUAGUAUGAUUCGCGCUUCGGGAUUUUGUCCCUCCUGCAUGCGGGAAAGAUUGCGCGAGGUCCCGGGUUCAAUUCCCGGUUGGGCCC